UAGGCUCGCAGAGAAGUACAGCUCCUAAUGCAGUUUCCGCCUCCCAGAGAAGCAGCCUUGCAGACCUGUGAUAUGGAUAUAGAGCAGGUGGCUCACCUCUCUGGUAAUUGAGUUCACAGCUGGUAGCUUUGCCUCAGCAGUCUUCUCACCCAGGAGGGAACAAAGGCCAUCCUCUUCCCCAGCAGUCUUGGUGAUCAUAAGAGUCUUCCAUACUGAGCUGACCGAAGCAGCACUGAAUAGAUUUUUCUUUAUUCUGUUAUUUUCAUACACUGAUGUUGCUACUGCUGUAAUAUAUUUUUAAUAUUUGAACAGAUAUCUUUAUCUCAUCUGUUGAGUUACGUAUGUUUUCUCUAUAGCUCUGACUUAAUUUUGUUCUCAGUGGUGAAAAAAAAUUGGCUUAUGGUAUGUGUGCCUACUCUACCACUACUUUCGAUGUCUCGGGAUGAAUUACCGGCUGUUGAAUUCACAAAAAUAUGAGCACUAAUGAUGUAAUUCAUUUCAGUUACCUAACGUAAUUGAUUUUUUUUUGUUACAUAAGUUCCUCUGUAUUAUUUAUUUCUUUUUUUCCAGGAAACAUACAUUUAUAAAUGUAAUUGUAUGCUUAAAGACAUUAUACAGCAUUGAAGGGCCCAGAGCACAAACAGGAAAUGUGUCAUUUCUUCUUUUUCACUCGUUAACGUCAUUUGUUACCCAACUCUCUGGUGUUAAUCCCGCUCACCCCCGGCUCCUUCUGUUGCCAUGGAUAUGCCAUCCCUAUGGCAACUCAGGGCCUUUGUGGAUGGUCUUGGGUCCUGACGGCGGAGGACUCAUUACACAUUCCCUUCCAGCUCCAAGUCAAAUCAGUCAAAACGGACAAGCUCAUCUGCCUGCUACAGUACAGGCACCUUUGUGAAAAUGUGCCACAGCAUGGUUUCAUAAACAUAUUAUGGGAUCUGAUCAUCAGUCUUAAACACAUCCACAUUAAAGAGACCGAAUGAAGAAGAUGACCUUUUCAUUUCUAAUAUUGAAGAGAUUAAAAACACUGUACUGAAGCAAACCCCUUUAAUGUCCCUGCUGAAUAAGAAUUAGCUGAAUGACAUAGUUGUUUACAAAGAGGAACAGCAUUAGUGUCUGUGCUCAAAUUUUAUUGUACCUUCACUUAGUAGUGAUAAGUAGUUGGGGUUUAAAAGACAAUUAAUAUUCAGUAAUACCAAUUUAAUUGCACUGACGGAAAAAUUUGAAUUUUAUUGAGCUGGAUAAUGACAAACUUUGCAACAUCGAUGUGUUAUUGAACUGAAAUGACAACUGAAUCAACACUGAACUGACUUGAGAUGAAUAAUGAUGCUGUUGCCUUCUGUAGAGCUUCUAAAUUGAAGUUGUUUUGUAAUUGUGAACCAACACAC
ensembl:lncRNA